AGCAUAGCAAGUACUUCUGUGCAGUACAUCAAAAAAGGAAUAACUGAAUUCGUCCAGCUUGGAUUGUCAAAUUUACGCACAAUUGAAGACAUAAAUUUGUUCCUUGAAAUGCGGUUUCCACGGAUAAGCUUGUAUAUUCGGGAAACUCCAAGCCUUGCUUGAAUGAGUGAACCACCUUCAGGUUUUCCCUUCAAAUUUCCAGCAGCUCUAGAUUGGAGUUUUUGAUUUAGAUUUUCAGCAGAAACACUGCAGGAUUGCAUGAAUAUAAAUGAUAGCUGAAGG
rnacentral:misc_RNA from 1 species